UGUUAUGAUGUAGUGCUCUCCAGAGUUGAGGUCGCUUUGUGUCCAUCUAUUCGCUGCACUUCACUUUUAAGAUCGGGGAUCCUGGCAGGUUUACUCCCCAAAAUCAAUAAGAAUCAUGAUUAUUACAGAACUUCCAUUUCCAAAUUCACAUCAAAUAAGUCAGGCUAUAAGUUCGAAGCAGUACUGGCAGAGGCGCUCCCAAAAUCGAACCCCCUUGAUAAGGAAUCCUGACUACGACCCGUUGGAAACCUCAUUGAACUGUCGACCGGGAGAACGAUGCGAUGCGCAAUGUUAAGAUGAACAAAAUUGGAAACAAAACGAAAAAUGGAAAUGCCAAUGAAAAAUUCCAAUCCCCAUUCCCAUUCCCAUACCCACCCCACGAGCUAUAUGGCUCUAUAUCCGACAUCGAAAAAUCGCCAGCACUUGUAAGACAUGUGUAAAUAUUUACGUUCCGCCUUCUUAAAUUUUUUUUCUCUACUUUUUUUUUUGUUUUUUGGGGGGGUGGAGGGCAGGAGGAUCUCCGAGAUAAAGUGACGUCGAUGUCGACGACCGACGAGCGGCGACGCAAGAAUUUUGGAAUUUGGCAUGGUCGAAGGACGCCUGUUGUUGCCAUUGUUGGAUUGCUGUAUUGCUGUAGCCCCCGUCUAUAAAAACAUGUAUGUAUAUGCCUAUAUAGAGUUUUUAUCUAGUACGCAGUGGGCGAAUGUGCAUGUGUUUUUAGAUCGGGAUUCUUAUUCGGAUUCGGAUUCGGAUUGUGAUGCGGAUUUCAUAUAUGUACAUAUAUUCGGAUGUGGCUGCGGAAUGAGUCAACUGGGGGCUGCCAAAUGGGAAUUUCUAAUUUGUGCUCUCUUGUACAGCGCAAAUUUGUAUAUGCAUAUAUGCGAAUUCAUAUUCGCAGCUGCAUAAACAUCUGCAUUUUAAAGGCCAUAAAGGUCAGAAGUGCUAAGCAGAUAUGCGAGGACUUACCCUAGUGAUAAAGUGAGUUUAAUGGAUUUCUCAAUUCUGAAAGGAAUUUGUAUAUGGAACGCUAUUUAUCGGGGAUCCUAAACUUUGUCUGGAGUAAUGAGCAAUAUUUUAAAAAGGUAUAUCAUAUACCAUAUCGUAUUAUAGU